GAUGAACGCUGACAGAAUGCUUAACACAUGCAAGUCAACUUGGACUUCGGUUUGGGUGGCGGACGGGUGAGUAACGCGUAAAGAACUUGCCUCACAGAUAGGGACAACAUUUGGAAACGAAUGCUAAUACCUGAUAUUAUGAUUUUAGGGCAUCCUAGAAUUAUGAAAGCUAUAUGCGCUGUGAGAGAGCUUUGCGUCCCAUUAGCUAGUUGGAGAGGUAACGGCUCACCAAGGCGAUGAUGGGUAGCCGGCCUGAGAGGGUGAUCGGCCACAAGGGGACUGAGACACGGCCCUUACUCCUACGGGAGGCAGCAGUGGGGAAUAUUGGACAAUGGACCAAGAGUCUGAUCCAGCAAUUCUGUGUGCACGAUGAAGUUUUUCGGAAUGUAAAGUGCUUUCAGUUGGGAAGAAAAAAAUGACGGUACCAACAGAAGAAGUGACGGCUAAAUACGUGCCAGCAGCCGCGGUAAUACGUAUGUCACAAGCGUUAUCCGGAUUUAUUGGGCGUAAAGCGCGUCUAGGUGGUUAUAUAAGUCUGAUGUGAAAAAUGCAGGGCUCAACUCUGUAUUGCGUUGGAAAAUGUGUAACUAGAGUACUGGAAGAGGUUAGCGGAACUACAUUGUCAGGUGUAAUUCUUAUAUUUUUGUACGGAUCCACAACGCGCGCCUCUUCAUGUACAAUAGUGAGGUGUGUGGUGAAAAGUCGGGUAGAAAAGCGCGAGAUACCCCAGUAAAUUGGGGGGGA
rnacentral:rRNA from 1 species